rnacentral:rRNA from 1 species
AUGAACGCUGGCGGCGUGCCUAAUACAUGCAAGUCGAGCGAACAGACGAGGAGCUUGCUCCUCUGACGUUAGCGGCGGACGGGUGAGUAACACGUGGAUAACCUACCUAUAAGACUGGGAUAACUUCGGGAAACCGGAGCUAAUACCGGAUAAUAUAUUGAACCGCAUGGUUCAAUAGUGAAAGACGGUUUUGCUGCCACUUAUAGAUGGAUCCGCGCCGCAUUAGCUAGUUGGUAAGGUAACGGCUUACCAAGGCAACGAUGCGUAGCCGACCUGAGAGGGUGAUCGGCCACACUGGAACUGAGACACGGUCCAGACUCCUACGGGAGGCAGCAGUAGGGAAUCUUCCGCAAUGGGCGAAAGCCUGACGGAGCAACGCCGCGUGAGUGAUGAAGGUCUUCGGAUCGUAAAACUCUGUUAUUAGGGAAGAACAAAUGUGUAAGUAACUAUGGACGUCUUGACGGUACCUAAUCAGAAAGCCACGGCUAACUACGUG